ACGGAAGGCAGCAGUGGGGAAUAUUGGACAAUGGGGGAAACCCUGAUCCAGCGACGCCGCGUGAGUGAAGAAGUAUUUCGGUAUGUAAAGCUCUAUCAGCAAGGAAGAAAAUGACGGUACUUGACUAAGAAGCUCCGGCUAAAUACGUGCCAGCAGCCGCGGUACUACGUAUGGAGCAAGCGUUAUCCGGAUUUACUGGGUGUAAAGGGAGCGUAGACGGCAAAGCAAGUCCGAAGUGAAAUCCCGGGGCUCAACCCCGGAACUGCUUUGGAAACUGUUUAGCUAGAGUGCAGGAGAGGUAAGCGGAAUUCCUAGUGUAGCGGUGAAAUGCGUAGAUAUUAGGAGGAACACCAGUGGCGAAGGCGGCUUACUGGACUGUAACUGACGUUGAGGCUCGAAAGCGUGGGGAGCAAACAGGAUUAGAUACCCUGGUA
rnacentral:rRNA from 1 species